GUAAACCCCACCCACCUCCAUCAAGAGAUGAAUGCUAACUGGGCCAAACUGACUAGGUUAAUCUCCAUGGAGAGCUGUCCUAUUAACUCAAGCCUGGACCAAUCAGCAUUCUUUUGGACAGGGUUUUGUUCUAGGCUGAACCUUACUUUCUCACUCUACACACCUUUCCUUGGGAAACUCAGUGACAUCCGUGGCAUCACUUGUUGUGAGCACUGGUGUCAGAUUUGACUGUGUUAUAUUCCAGUUUUGAAGCAUUGGACAAGAUUUCAACUGUCAAGAGAAGAUCAAAAAUACUUACCACAGGGCAAUAACAGUAUAUAAAGAACCCACCAUACUGUCUGAUUUAGAGUUAAUAAAUAUUGGUUAAUG